rnacentral:tRNA from 1 species
GGGGUUGUGGCUCAGCCGUAGAGCACUCGCUCGCCUAGCACAUGAGAGGCCCUGGGUUCGAUCCUCAGCACCACA